rnacentral:rRNA from 1 species
GACGAACGCUGGCGGCGGGCUUAACACAUGCAAGUCGAACGGAAAGGCCCUGCUUGUGUGGGGUGCUCGAGUGGCGAACGGGUGCGGAACACGUGAGUAACCUGCCCUUGACUUUGGGAUAACUUCAGGAAACUGGGGCUAAUACCGUAUAGGAGCUCCUGCUGCAUGGUGGGGGUUGGAAAGUUUCGGCGGUUGGGGAUGGACUCGCGGCUUAUCAGCUUGUUGGUGGGGUAGUGGCUUACCAAGGCUGUGACGGGUAGCCGGCCUGAGAGGGUGACCGGCCACAUUGGGACUGAGAUACGGACCAGACUCCUACGGGAGGCAGCAGUGGGGAAUAUUGCACAAUGGGCGGAAGCCUGAUGCAGCAACGCCGCGUGCGGGAUGACGGCCUUUGGGUUGUAAACCGCUUUCGCCUGUGACGCAGCGUGAGUGACGGUAAUGGGUAAAGAAGCACCGGCUAACUACGUG